ACUAUUAAAACCCAUGUUCGCCUACGAGUCUUGGGUUACCUUCAGUUGGUGACACACACACGAUGGUGUCAGGCCCAGUGCUCCAGACUCCAGCAUUAGUGCAAGUGAUGGUGUUGGGUCCAGUCAAUGAGAGUCCACUGUCACACUGCUUUCAUAGUUCACUAUAGUUCCGUUGGAGGGCUCCUUGGGUACUGUGCAAUUAGCUGCAUAUAAAGAAGUAAAGUUUAAAAACAAGAAAUGGAAUUGGCUGCCUCACCUGGCCUCUCCCUGCACACCAAGCUCCCAGGAUUCUCCACCCACUCUCCCCUACCCCCCACAUCAGUGCAUGUGCUGGUCCUCACAUCAAGGGGGAACAGUCCAUCCUCACAGUGAUAGGUGACUUCUGAACCCAGUGAGAAGGGUGGUGUCCCACCACUGACAUCCACACUGCCAUUGGAUGGUGCAGCAGGAGAGCUACAGGUUGCUGAUACCGUCUCUCCAUUGCAAGUGAAGCUUAGUGUUGAUCCUACUAGUGCAGGCAGUGGAGGAGUACCAACAAUGGUAACUCUGUUUGCAGGUGGUGGGUUAGAAGGGCAGGUAACUGCAUGCAUUAAAUUAAAUGUACAGUGAAGCUAGUACGUGUAAUAUCUAACCAAUAAAAGGAAUUGUCACCAUCACAUCAGUACUAGAGCCAGCACAGUUGUCAGCUCUGAUGGUCAUAUUGUAGGGAGUGUACUGUUGUAGGAGAUGAUUAUCUGUGCUGAGGUGGUCUCCACGGUGACUGGUGACCCAGAGAGAGGUGUUGGGGAGAUGGUGAGGACGUAGCUGACAGACACACCACCAGUAGAGGAGGGAGGGUCCCACUCCAGAGUGAUAAUAGAGGAACUGAUUUGGUUUUGUUGUGAAGCCACCAUUGGAGCUGAUGGAGAAGUGGGUGGCUCUGUAAGAGAUCAGUUGUACUCAAUUAAAACUAUUAUAAUUAUGUCUCACCUGCAACAAUGAUUGUUAGGGAUUCUGUUGCUUCUCCAAUACAACGCACAACGGUGCCGUUCAGCAAGGACACCUCAGUGACUGUGGUGAGGGUGGAGCUCAGUAGAAGCAGAAGACACCACUUGUGUCAACUGUGCAGUAACGACGCCAGGUGGAGGAUCCACUUCCCACAAAAGUGAACUUCUAUUAACAGAGCAGGAUGGACAAGUCUGACAGAACAGUAACAUGCAGUUGUAUAAUUAAUUCUUGUUAUUAAUUUUGUUCAUCAGUUUAUGCAAACAGAUGCAGUGCUACAUGUAUUGUUUACAUUGUCUCAAUGAAUAAUAAUGAAAGUUGCAAGGAAAACAAUAGCUGAAAGCUAUGGUGUA